CCUACGGGCGGCAGCAGUGAGGAAUAUUGGUCAAUGGGCGGAAGCCUGAACCAGCCAAGUCGCGUGAGGGAAUAAGGCCCUACGGGUCGUAAACCCCUUUUGCCGGGGAGCAAGGGCGGGGCCGUGUCCCGGCCCGGAGAGUACCCGGAGAAAAAGCAUCGGCUAACUCCGUGCCAGGAGACGCGGUAAUACGGAGGGUGCGAGCGUUAUCCGGAUUUAUUGGGUUUAAAGGGUGCGUAGGCGGGCUUUUAAGUCAGCGGUAAAGAUUCGGGGCUCAAGCCCGUCCGGCCGUUGAAACUGGGUGCCUUGAGUGGGCGUGAAGAAGGCGGAAUGCGUGGUGUAGCGGUGAAAUGCAUAGAUAUCACGCAGAACCCCGAUUGCGAAGGCAGCCUUCCGGCGCCCUACUGACGCUGAGGCACGAAAGUGCGGGGAUCGAACAGGAUUAGAUACCCCAGUAGUC
rnacentral:rRNA from 1 species